rnacentral:rRNA from 1 species
GGCUUACACCACCAACGCCAGGGAAUUACGAGCCCAGCUUAAAACCCAAAGGACUUGACGGUGUCCCACCCAACUAGAGGAGCCUGUUCUAUAAUCGAUAACCCCCGAUUCACCCAACCCUAUUUCGCCAUUCAGCCUGUAUACCUCCGUCGCAAGCUUACCAUAUGAAUGCUUACAGUAAGUUUAAUGAUCUAAACAUCAAUACGUCAGGUCAAGGUGCAGCUUAUAAUAGGGAAAGAAAUGGGCUACAAUUUCUAAAUUAGAACAUACGAAAUGCUUACAUGAAACACAGCCACGAAGGCGGAUUUAGUAGUAAAAG